rnacentral:rRNA from 1 species
GCAAGUCGAGGGGCAGCAUCAUCAAAGCUUGCUUUGAUGGAUGGCGACCGGCGCACGGGUGAGUAACACGUAUCCAACCUGCCGACAACACUGGGAUAGCCUUUCGAAAGAAAGAUUAAUACCGGAUGGCAUAAUUAUUCCGCAUGGGAUAAUUAUUAAAGAAUUUCGGUUGUCGAUGGGGAUGCGUUCCAUUAGGCAGUUGGCGGGGUAACGGCCCACCAAACCUACGAUGGAUAGGGGUUCUGAGAGGAAGGUCCCCCACAUUGGAACUGAGACACGGUCCAAACUCCUACGGGAGGCAGCAGUGAGGAAUAUUGGUCAAUGGACGAGAGUCUGAACCAGCCAAGUAGCGUGAAGGAUGACUGCCCUAUGGGUUGUAAACUUCUUUUAUACGGGAAUAAAGUUAGCCACGUGUGGCUUUUUGUAUGUACCGUAUGAAUAAGGAUCGGCUAACUCCGUGCCAGCAGCCGCGGUAAUACGGAGGAUCCGAGCGUUAUCCGGAUUUAUUGGGUUUAAAGGGAGCGUAGGCGGGUUGUUAAGUCAGUUGUGAAAGUUUGCGGCUCAACCGUAAAAUUGCAGUUGAUACUGGCGACCUUGAGUGCAACAGAGGUAGGCGGAAUUCGUGGUGUAGCGGUGAAAUGCUUAGAUAUCACGAAGAACUCCGAUUGCGAAGGCAGCUUACUGGAUUGUAACUGACGCUGAUGCUCGAAAGUGUGGGUAUCAA